AGAGAGUGGUGGUGGAGACAGUCCCUUGCGGAAGCCGGGCUUCAAGUUAUUUUUUGGGCAAUAAGUGCAUGAGUGUUGUUUUAAUUGCAAUUUCUGUAAUGUCUGCGCGACGCCUUUGAAAAUUAUAC